rnacentral:misc_RNA from 1 species
GGAAACUCAUCCAGAUAAAAAAGAAAACCAUCCUUUUCCCUUGCCCUGUUGCUCGCUCUCGCAUUCUGCAGGGGGCGACCAUCAUCUUCUCCAUCUAAGCAUGUCGCCAUUUCGGUUCCUCUUCACCAUACUCAUUUCUUCCCUUUUCAUCCUCUCCGUCUCCUCCAUAUUCCCACUUCAUCGCCGCUUACCAGAUGGAUUGCAUCCAGUCGUUCAACUAGGGAGAGCAGCAAUGGCUCACCAAUUCAUCGUUGCCCACAACAACGUCAGGUCUGCCUACGGCUUGAAACCCUUAAGGUGGAACAGAACAUUGGCCAAAUACGCUCGCCGAUGGGCCAACCAACGCAUUGACGAUUGUGAGCUGCAGCAUUCUCCUGAUAGUCCCUACGGCGAGAAUUUGUUCUGGAGCUUGAAAGCCCACUGGGGUCCAGCAGAAGUCGUUAAGUGUUGGGCCGAUGAAAACGUCUAUUACAAUCAGAAAACAAAUGAAUGCAUCAACGGGGAGAUGUGCGGCCAUUUUACGCAGCUUGUAUGGAAGACCACCGAAGAGGUAGGGUGCGGGCGCGUUGAGUGCCGCAAUAAUAAAGGCUUCUUAUAUGUUUGCUCCUAUGAUCCUCCGGGGAAUUACUAUUUUGAGGGUCCAUUCGGUGGCACUUUUACCAAAUCCAUCGUCUAUCCUCCCCCCGGCAGUGCAUAAUUGCCAAUCCUCCUUCUAAGAUUUUCAGGGACCUAUAAAAUUUCACAUAUGUGGAUUCCAACAUACAUAUGUAUUGGAUAUACAAGCAAGAAUUUCCCAAUAUAUUGGCUUGGAUGGCUGAGUAUUGUAACUAUGUAUGUUUUUAUUCUUAUUUAUAUCUAGUGUUAAACAUAUAUGUACCCUGCAGGCAUCUUGUUCUAAAUCUAAUUAAAGCAUGCCUGGCAAGUUUUUCAGCUUUUGAUGGAAUUUGAUUUGUAAUAAUCUUUUUCUCCGAUCUGUUCCAAUUAAUGAUCUUUGUAAAUUGCCCUAGUUUCCAAUUUAUUAUUGAGGUCACCCAUAGUUUAAC